GACGAACGCUGGCGGCGUGCUUAACACAUGCAAGUCGAACGGUAAGGCCCUUCGGGGUACACGAGUGGCGAACGGGUGAGUAACACGUGGGAGAUCUGCCCUGCACUUCGGGAUAAGCCUGGGAAACUGGGUCUAAUACCGGAUAGGACCACUGCCUGCAUGGGUGGUGGUGGAAAGCUUUUGCGGUGUGGGAUGGGCCCGCGGCCUAUGAGCUUGUUGGGGGGGUGAUGGCCUCCCAAGGCGACGACGGGUAGCCGGCCUGAGCGGGUGACCGGCCACACUGGGCCUGGGAUACGGCCCAGACUCCUACGGGAGGCAGCAGUGGGGAAUAUUGCACAAUGGGCGCAAGCCUGGUGCAGCGACGCCGCGUGAGGGGUGACGGCCUUCGGGUUGUAAACCUCUUUCAGCACCGACGAAGCGCAAGUGACGGUAGGUGCAGAAGAAGGACCGGCCAACUACGUGCCAGCAGCCGCCGUAA
rnacentral:rRNA from 1 species